UGGAACUCUGGUUAGAGCUGUCUUCAG
rnacentral:piRNA from 1 species